rnacentral:rRNA from 1 species
UACGUAGGGUGCGAGCGUUGUCCGGAAUUAUUGGGCGUAAAGAGCGUGUAGGCGGCCAGAUAAGUCCGCUGUGAAAUCUCGAGGCUCAACUUCGAGCUGUCGGUGGAAACUGUCUGGCUAGAGUCCGGAAGAGGAGAAUGGAAUUCCUGGUGUAGCGGUGAAAUGCGCAGAUAUCAGGAAGAACACCCGUGGCGAAGGCGGUUCUCUGGGACGGUACUGACGCUGAGACGCGAAAGCGUGGGGAGCGAACAGG